UCAUCAAGGCUAAAGGGAGAAGAGAGAGAGUACAGCCUUACCAUGUACACACACUCCAAUCUCAACAGUCUCUUAUAUAUGCUGCUGUUACCUGUGAGUGUGAUGAAGGCUGUACCCUCUCUCUUCUUCUCUUAGCUUCUUGAUGC
rnacentral:pre_miRNA from 1 species